AUCUAGUUGACGAGUCCCAAAUAGGACGAAACGAGUGUCUUGGAU
rnacentral:hammerhead_ribozyme from 1 species